UAAGGAAUAUUGGACAAUGGUCGCAAGACUGAUCCAGCCAUGCCGCGUGCAGGAAGACGGCCCUAUGGGUUGUAAACUGCUUUUGUACCAGAGAAAACCUAUCUACGUGUAGAUAGCUGAUAGUAUGGUAAGAAUAAGCAUCGGCUAACUUCGUGCCAGCAGCCGCGGUAAGACGAAGGAUGCAAGCGUUAUCCGGAUUCAUUGGGUUUAAAGGGUGCGUAGGUGGGCAGGUAAGUCAGUGGUGAAAUCUCCGGGCUUAACCCGGAAACUGCCGUUGAUUCUAUUUGGCUUGAAUAUUGUGGAGGUAAGCGGAAUAUGUCAUGUAGCGGUGAAAUGCUUAGAUAUGACAUAGAACACCAAUUGCGAAGGCAGCUUACUACACAAUCAUUGACGCUGAGGCACGAAAGCGUGGGGAUCAAACA
rnacentral:rRNA from 1 species